UCUUCCGCCUGUCCGCCGCUAGCGGUGGU
rnacentral:sRNA from 1 species